ensembl:snRNA U6 U6 spliceosomal RNA
GUGCACACUUCGGCAGCACAUAUACUAAAACUGGAACGAUACAGAUAAGGUUAGCAUGGCCCCUGUGCAAGGAUGACACGCAAAUUCAUGAAGCGUUCCAUAUUUUU